UACGGGGGGGGCAAGCGUUGUUCGGAAUUACUGGGCGUAAGGGCGCGUAGGCGGCCUUCUAAGUCGGACGUGAAAUCCCUCGGCUUAACCGAGGAACUGCGUCCGAUACUGAAAGGCUUGAAUCCGGGAGAGGGAUGUGGAAUUCCAGGUGUAGCGGUGAAAUGCGUAGAUAUCUGGAGGAACACCGGUGGCGAAGGCGGCAUCCUGGACCGGCAUUGACGCUGAGGCGCGAAAGCUAGGGGAGCAAACGGG
rnacentral:rRNA from 1 species